AUCCCAGAAGAACGGACCGCGUUACGACUGAGGAGCCACGGUCCCAAGCUUCAAUGGAAAAGAGCGUUGCUUUGCAUGUUCUUUCACCAAACCUUGUUUGAAUGGCGUGGGGUACAACGACGGCGACUAUACAUGAUUAUACAGAGCUACUCUCAUCCCACAAGUGACAUCUGCCUCCCAAGUGCUUCGCACGGAUGUCUGUUGGCCCCAAACUAGCCCUGCCUGUAUAUAUGUUGGUAAACGAGAACGACUGCUUCUGAACAUCCGAUGAAGUCUUUUGUGAAACCUCUUACGAAGACUCCUUUGUGAGGAAAGAAAUACACCAAUUUACAGUUUCACAUGACACAUAUUGCUUACUUCCUGGCUGAGAGAGAACAGACUACUCAUUCCAGACCUUUAUGAUGUGAAGGAAAAAGAACUAUGAAGUUCAAAAAUAAAACUUCUAGAAAUUUUGAUUCAAUAGAACCGAGUGUUGACAGCACACUGGAAAAAAAAGGUAAUGCAAUGCAAUUGAGUUUUCUUGCAUCUGUUUUAAAUAAUCUCUAUUGUAAUAGGCUAUACUUAUUAUACUAUACUUACGACACCAUCAGCAUCCAAGGCUGCACUCUCCACCUCUC